rnacentral:rRNA from 1 species
UGGAGCAUGUGGUUUAAUUCGAUGCAACGCGAAGAACCUUACCUGGUCUUGACAUCCACAGAACUUGGCAGAGAUGCCUUGGUGCCUUCGGGAACUGUGAGACAGGUGCUGCAUGGCUGUCGUCAGCUCGUGUUGUGAAAUGUGGGUUAAGUCCCGCAACGAGCGCAACCUUAUCCUUGUUGCCAGCGGUUCGGCCGGGAACUCAAAGGAGACUGCCAGUGAUAAACUGGAGGAAGGUGGGGAUGACGUCAAGUCAUCAUGGCCCUUACGAGUAGGGCUACACACGUGCUACAAUGGCAUAUACAAAGAGAAGCGACCUCGCGAGAGCAAGCGGACCUCAUAAAGUAUGUCGUAGUCCGGAUUGGAGUCUGCAACUCGACUCCAUGAAGUCGGAAUCGCUAGUAAUCGUGGAUCAGAAUGCCACGGUGAAUACGUUCCCGGGCCUU